AGGACAAACGCUGGCGGGGUGCAUGAGACAUGCAAGUCGAACGAGGUGCCAUCGGGCUUGCUCGAUGGUUACCUAGUGGCGGACGGCUGAGUAACGCGUAGGUGACCUACCCGGAAGUGGGGAAUAACUGCCCGAAAGGGUGGCUAAUACCGCAUGUGGUCGGCGAUUCGAUUCGCCGUCUAAAGGAGCAAUUCGCUUCCGGAGGGGCCUGCGUCCGAUUAGCUAGUUGGUGGGGUAACGGCUCACCAAGGCGACGAUCGGUAGCUGGUCUGAGAGGAUGAUCAGCCAGACUGGGACUGAGAACGGCCCAGACUCCUACGGGAGGCAGCAGUCGGGAAUUUUGCCCAAUGGACGAAAGUCUGAGGCAGCAACUCCUCGUGAGGGAUGAAGGCUCUCGGGUCGUAAACCUCUUUUCUCAGGGAAGAUCCAAGACGGUACCUGAGGAAUAAGCGACGGCUAACUACGUGCCAGCAGCCGC
rnacentral:rRNA from 1 species